UACGUAGGGUGCGAGCGUUAAUCGGAAUUACUGGGCGUAAAGCGUGCGCAGGCGGUUCGUUAAGUCAGAUGUGAAAGCCCCGGGCUCAACCUGGGAACUGCAUUUGAAACUGGCGGGCUUGAGUGUGGCAGGAGGGGGUGGAAUUCCGCGUGUAGCAGUGAAAUGCGUAGAGAUGCGGAGGAACACCGGAUGGCGAAGGCAGCCCCCUGGCCAACACUGACGCUCAUGCACGAAAGCGUGGGGAGCAAACAGG
rnacentral:rRNA from 1 species